UGCCAGCCGCCGCGGUAAUACGGAGGGUGCAAGCAUUAAUCGGAUUUAUUGGGCGUAAAGGGGGUCUAGGUGGAAAUAUAAGUCAGACGUGAAAUCCCGGGGCUCAAUCUCGGAACUGCAUCUGAAACUGUAUAUCUAGAGGGUAGGCGGAGAAAGCGGAAUUCCAUGUGUAGCGGUGAAAUGCGUAGAUAUAUGGAAGAACACCUGUGGCGAAAGCGGCUUUCUAGCUUAUUCCUGACACUCAAGCCCGAAAGCAAGGGGAGCGAACAGGAUUAGAUA
rnacentral:rRNA from 1 species